CCUAGCUGUCUCCCUAGAGCUGUUUCCUGCAGCUCUCCCUGCCUUGCCCUCUCAGGCCCACUGGGAUCCGACCAGCCUGGGCUCUUCUCAUCCCCACUGCCCCCUAAAUGGAAUGAAAGCCUUAGGGGAGGGAUGCCACGUCCUUCUCCAGCCUCCACAGGGCCACCCAAGUGACCAGCUUUUACAGGUCGAAGGGACAGAUUCACUGGCAGAGGUUCUCAGUCAGAGCUGGCCACCCAGACUACUCCUUGUGCAGCACAACAGCAGGCUGACACUGCAAUCCAAAGGGAACAUCAAUCUCUGCCUCUAAUAGGCGUAAUGCAUCCCAGACGUGUUAAAAGUUCCCACUUGCUUAGAUCUCUUUGGGCCACACACUCUGUGCCACUGUUUGUGUUCAGGAUAAAUUACAAAUGGAUGGGGAAGUUUCAUCAGAAAUGUGGCACUACGGUCAGAUUAGUACAAGAAGUACUAAUAUAUAGUUAUUAAAGACUGGAUUUUACAUCACAAUCAGCAAAACCUAUCUGUUUGGCCUGGCUUGCCAGGGUGUUUAACCUGUUGUAAAUGCUGUAAUUGUAAAUGGUUUUAUGCUCUUUUUAAAUUGUUAUGUAAGGAUUGUUUUUAAAGGACUGAUCUGUGGGUUUUAUUUUUGUUGUUGUGAACCACCCAGAGCCAUUUGGAUGGGGCAGUAUAUAAAUGUAACAAAUAAAUAAAUAAAUAAAUAAAUAAAUAAAUUUUCAUUUAUCUUUA